UACAUGUGGGGCAAGCGUUGUUCGGAAUUACUGGGCAUAAAGGGUGCGUAGGCGGUUUGUUAAGUCUGUGGUGAAAGUUUUCGGCCCAACCGGAAAUUGACCGCGGAUACUGGCGAACUUGAGUGCGUGAGGAUGGGGGAACGAGCAGUGUAGCGGUGAAAUGCGUAGAUAUUGCUCGGAAGGCCAGAGCCGAAGGGGCCCAUUGGUACGUAACUGACGC
rnacentral:rRNA from 1 species